CAGCAGCCGCGGUAAUACAGAGGGUGCGAGCGUUAAUCGGAUUUACUGGGCGUAAAGCGUGCGUAGGCGGCUUCUUAAGUCGGAUGUGAAAUCCCUGAGCUUAACUUAGGAAUUGCAUUCGAUACUGGGAAGCUUGAGUAUGGGAGAGGAUGGUAGAAUUCCAGGUGUAGCGGUGAAAUGCGUAGAGAUCUGGAGGAAUACCGAUGGCGAAGGCAGCCAUCUGGCCUAAUACUGACGCUGAGGUACGAAAGCAUGGGGAGCAAACAGGAUUAGAUACCCCCGUAGUCCCUGUCUCUUAUAA
rnacentral:rRNA from 1 species